AUCAGCUUGGCAGAUUAAAUGCAAUAAAUUUAGAAUUUAUUUAUGAAAAAAAAUUCAGUUGAUA
rnacentral:tRNA from 1 species